rnacentral:rRNA from 1 species
GAUGAACGCUGGCGGCGUGCCUAAUACAUGCAAGUCGAGCGAACGGACGAGAAGCUUGCCUUUCUGAUGUUAGCGGCGGACGGGUGAGUAACACGUGGAUAACCUACCUAUAAGACUGGGAUAACUUCGGGAAACCGGAGCUAAUACCGGAUAAUAUUUUGAACCGCAUGGUUCAAAAGUGAAAGACGGUCUUGCUGUCACUUAUAGAUGGAUCCGCGCUGCAUUAGCUAGUUGGUAAGGUAACGGCUCACCAAGGCAACGAUGCAUAGCCGACCUGAGAGGGUGAUCGGCCACACUGGAACUGAGACACGGUCCAGACUCCUACGGGAGGCAGCAGUAGGGAAUCUUCCGCAAUGGGCGAAAGCCUGACGGAGCAACGCCGCGUGAGUGAUGAAGGUCUUCGGAUCGUAAAACUCUGUUAUUAGGGAAGAACAUAUGUGUAAGUAACUGUGCACAUCUUGACGGUACCUAAUCAGAAAGCCACGGCUAACUACGUG